GUCUGCCCCCCAGGAGUGGAAGCUGGACACAUUUUGUGACCUGUACAAGACCCUCAGCAUCACCCACUGUGGGUUGGUGGGUCUGUGGGUUGCUCUAGGUCACUGUAGGUCAAUCUAUGGGUCAAUCUAUGUGUCUGUGGGUCAAUCUAUGGGUCGCUAUGGGUCUGUGGGUGAAUCUAUGGGUCUGUGGGUGAAUGUGUGGGUCACUGUGUGGGUCUGCCCCCCAGGAGUGGAAGCUGGACACAUUUUGUGAUCUCUACAAGACCCUCAGCAUCACCCCGCUGUGGGUUGGUGGGUCUGUGGGUCCAUCUAUGAGUCUGUGGGUCAAUCUAUGGGUCGCUAUGGGUCUGUGGGUGAAUCUAUGGGUCUGUGGGUGAAUGUGUGGGUCACUGUGUGGGUCUGCCCCCCAGGAGUGGAAGCUGGACACGCUGUGUGACCUGUACGAGACCCUCACCAUCACCCAGGCCGUCAUCUUCAUCAACACGCGGCGGAAGGUGGACUGGCUGACGGAGAAGAUGCACGCGCGGGACUUCACCGUCUCCGCCAUGGUGGGUGGGGGGGGGAGGGGCGGGGGGUGUCUCUCUGACCCCUCCCCUCCCCCAGCAUCGGGCGGGGGGGCCGUUUCGGGCGGAAGGGCGUGGCCAUCAACAUGGUGACCGAGGACGAUCGUCGGACGCUGCGCGACAUCGAGACCUUUUACAACACCAGCAUCGAGGAGAUGCCCCUCAACGUCGCCGACCUCAUCUGAGCCCGCCCCACGGCGCUAUGGGGCAGGGGCUGGGACCCACACAUCUGGGGACACGGGACUCCAGACCCACAGAUGUGGGGACCCGGGGGGCUGGGACCCACAGAUUUGGGGCUCUGGUGUCUCUGACCCACAUAUUUGGGACACAGGCCUCUGGGACCCACAGAUCUGGGGACAUGGGACUCCAGACCCACAGAUCUGGGGGUUUGGUGUCUCUGACCCACAGAUCUGGGGACCCAGACCCACAUAUUUGGGGCUCUAGUGUCUCUGACCCACAUGUGUGGGGAGUCAGGAGCCUAGGACCCACAUAUGUGGGGACAGAAGUGUCUCUGACCCACAGAUGUGGGGACACAGACACUCCAUACCCACAUAUUUGGGGACCUGGAGGUCUGGGACCCACAGAUCUGGGGACACAGACACUACAGACCCACAUAUGUGGGGACAUGGGACUCUGGGACCCAUAUAUUUGGGGCUCUGGUGUCUCUGACCCACAUGUGGGGGGGGUCAGGGGGCUGGGACCCACAGAUCUGGGGACCCAGGUGUCUCUGACCCACAUAUGUGGGGACAGAGGUGUCUGA
rnacentral:lncRNA from 1 species